GACGAACGCUGGCGGCGUGCCUAAUACAUGCAAGUAGAACGCUGAAGGAGGAGCUUGCUUCUCUGGAUGAGUUGCGAACGGGUGAGUAACGCGUAGGUAACCUGCCUGGUAGCGGGGGAUAACUAUUGGAAACGAUAGCUAAUACCGCAUAAUAGUAGAUGUUGCAUGACAUUUGCUUCAAAGGUGCAAUUGCAUCACUACCAGAUGGACCUGCGUUGUAUUAGCUAGUUGGUGGGGUAACGGCUCACCAAGGCGACGAUACAUAGCCGACCUGAGAGGGUGAUCGGCCACACUGGGACUGAGACACGGCCCAGACUCCUACGGGAGGCAGCAGUAGGGAAUCUUCGGCAAUGGACGGAAGUCUGACCGAGCAACGCCGCGUGAGUGAAGAAGGGUUUCGGAUCGUAAAGCUCUGUUGUAAGAGAAGAACGAGUGUGAGAGUGGAAAGUUCACACUGUGACGGUAUCUUACCAGAAAGGGACGGCUAACUACGUG
rnacentral:rRNA from 1 species